rnacentral:rRNA from 1 species
CGAGCGGCGGACGGGUGAGUAAUGCUUGGGAACAUGCCUUGAGGUGGGGGACAACAGUUGGAAACGACUGCUAAUACCGCAUAAUGUCUACGGACCAAAGGGGGCUUCGGCUCUCGCCUUUAGAUUGGCCCAAGUGGGAUUAGCUAGUUGGUGAGGUAAUGGCUCACCAAGGCGACGAUCCCUANCUGGUUUGAGAGGAUGAUCAGCCACACUGGGACUGAGACACGGCCCAGACUCCUACNGGAGGCAGCAGUGGGGAAUAUUGCACAAUGGGCGCAAGCCUGAUGCAGCCAUGCCGCGUGUGUGAAGAAGGCCUUCGGGUUGUAAAGCACUUUCAGUCAGGAGGAAAGGUUANUAGUUAAUACCUGCUAGCUGUGACGUUACUGACAGAAGAAGCACCGGCUAACUCCGUGCCAGCAGCCGUGGUAAUACGGAGGGUGCGAGCGUUAAUCGGAAUUACUGGGCGUAAAGCGUACGCAGGCGGUUUGUUAAGCGAGAUGUGAAAGCCCCGGGCUCAACCUGGGAACUGCAUUUCGAACUGGCAAACUANAGUGUGAUAGAGGGUGGUAGAAUUUCAGGUGUAGCGGUGAAAUGCGUAGAGAUCUGAAGGAAUACCGAUGGCGAAGGCAGCCACCUGGGUCAACACUGACGCUCAUGUACGAAAGCGUGGGGAGCAAACAGGAUUANAUACCCUGGUAG